CCUACGGGAGGCAGCAGUAGGGAAUAUUGCUCAAUGGGGGAAACCCUGAACCAGCAACGCAGCGUGGAGGAUGAAGGUUUUCUGAUUGUAAACUCCUUUUGUUAGAGAAGAUAAUGACUGUAUCUAACGAAUAAUCACCGGCCAACUCCGUUCCAGCCGCCGCGGUAAUACGGAGGGUGCAAGCGUUAUGCGGAAUCACUGGGCGUAAAGACCGCGUAGGCGGGAUAGCAAGUCAGAUGUGAAAUCCUAUGGCUUAACCAUAGAACUGCGUUUGAAACUGUUAUUAUAGAGUAUGGGAGAGGUAGGUGGAAUUCUUGGUGUAGGGGUAAAAUCCGUAGAGAUCAAGAGGAAUACUCAUUGCGAAGGCGACCUGCUAGAACAUAACUGACGCUGAUGCGCGAAAGCGUGGGGAGCAAACAGGAUUAGAUACCCGAGUAGUC
rnacentral:rRNA from 1 species